GUAGUACUCCCUUGUCCAGAAAUACUUGUUCUAGGAGUAGAUGUAUAUAGAUUUAUUUUAGUUAUAGAUACAUUCAUUUUAUACAUUUUUAGGACAAGUAUUUUCGGACGGAGGAAGUACACG
rnacentral:pre_miRNA from 1 species